UCAUAUUUGUUCCAUUUUCUGUUUACAAAAAAUCCCAUAGCGAGAAAAACCACAUAUCCUGCAAAACUUCCGUUGCCGUAAGAAACCUAUAAUGGCCGAUUCCACUCUCAAAUUGGGGCAACAGAAAUUCCGAGCAAACCCUAACCCUUCCUUCCAUAAGAGCUUUUCCAUUCAAAAACCCAUUUCUAGCGCCUAUAAAACAACCACGAUGAUCCCCGACGAUGCCGCUGAAGCAACGGUUGCAAAACCGAAAUGAAGCGCUUUCCAACAAGAGAGGGUGAUGAUGAAGUGACGAAACGAGAUUUACUGGAAUCAACACUUUGAAGGAGCCAAAAUUCACCGGAUCUUACCUCCAACUCUUUUACUGGAAAUUUACCUGCAAUGCAACUGAAGCAACCUACCAAAACCAAUACAUCUCUCUUUCACAAACUUUUCGUUCUCUCUCUCGUCUCUUGCAUUCCGCCUUCCAACUUCAACCCUUUCCACCACAAUUAUCAACCGUACAACAUUAUCUCAUCUCUCUCAUCAGAUUUGGAUAUAUAUUCCUUCCCUUCAUUCAGCUCUAAGUUCUUCGCUUUUUGUCCAAGAGUGUGGAGCUGAGCGGUGCUGCCAAAGAGCUUCUAAAAGAGAGUUUGACUGGGCCAAAACAACUUCAUCUAACCAGCAUGUUUGAUUGGGCCGAAAUUGAGAACUCUAAUAGGUUUCUUGUCUCUAAUGCAACAUAUGAUUGUUUACCAUUACAUGAGAGAUGACAACGAAAAUCUGAUGUUUGUAGCCUCAAAGUAGUUCUUCUAGAACUUCUAACAGCAAGAAAAGCAACAGACAAAACAAGCACACAAUCUGUGGAGAUUUGCGGUUUUGGUGUGAUUUCCGAUUUAACGACUUCUCAAUAGCUCGAUUUUAGGGCAAGGAGUGAAGAGAGACCACGUGGAGGAAGUAUUAGUUCAUUUUUAGAUCCAAUCAUACAAAACAGAAUCCUCACAUAUGUUUGUCUUCCAUAAAUAUUGAUAUAUAAUGUGAUUAAUAAUUUAUUACAUAUGAAUCUGUCAAAUUUGAGAUGGCAUCAUGUUGGUGCUGUCGUGUUUGAUAUAUUUGUUUGUGUCAAUAAUUCAUAGCCCUCAAUAGCCUUUAUUUAGAAACACUUUGUAAUAAAUAGCGUAACGCAAAAGUUUGUUGCUGGAUGAGAAAUGAUUCAUCUUACAUAAAACAGUUCAUGAAAGAAACCAUGAGUAGAACAAUCCAAAUAUUGCACUGUGUUAUAAUGGUUGUAGCAUUAUUUAUGUAACAUUCUACUUUCACCGUGCCUCCAAAGUCACUUAAACAAAAUAUAGCUCAUAUAAAAUUGAUGCAACAAAAAUAGUUCAUGAAGUCGAAUAUUAUCAUCGCUUAAGUUGCCAAGG